CUCUCCGUCCCCGGCUCCGCCAGCAGCAGCCCCGGAGAGAUUUCCUCUCCCCGCCGCCCGCGCUCUCUCUCCUCCUGCGCCCAGGCCGGUUCCGGAUCCGGGCGGCGACGGUGCAAGAUGGGGGCGCACAGGGGACGGUCCUGGAGCCCGGGAAGGGUGCGAGAUGGAGACGGCGGUUCAGAAAAGUUGUCAGGUCUCCAGCGCGGGCAGCGGCGGGAGCUGGAGCCGCGGUGGAGACGACCCGAGGGGACGCAGACCGCCUGGCACAAAGGGCCACGGGCGCGAGGGACUCGAUGAGCUGGGAGGACGCGGCCCCGGCAAGUGCGGCGCGCUGGGGCCGGUGCUUGGCGCCUUCCCUGGCACAGGACAUACUUUAUUCAGCUGGGUGCUGAAAAACAAUCUUGGAAAUUAGGAAACUGAAUGAGGCCUCAUUUCACACUCAGAAUGUGGGUUGCAGUAGUCACUUCCUCUGCUGCUGGGAAAGAAAGAAUUAUACUACCUUUUGAAUUUUGGAUUAAGGAGACAGGUGUUGGCUUGUCAAACUACCGUGUAUUCCUCAAGACAUAUUUUUGUGGCUUUAUAAAAUUCAAUAUAUAUUUCUAAAUUCAAAUAUAUUUUGUUGCAAUCUGGCCCUUGGACAAAAUGAGGCCCUGGCAACUGAUAUUUAUGG
rnacentral:lncRNA from 1 species